ACGACUAGUAUUAUUGAACACCUGGGUUCACCUAUCAGCUCCAUCAGGAAGUCCUUUUGAACUGGCCUUGCUUGCAGAGAUGAAACAAAUUGGCUCCACAAGGAAUAUAGUCAGCAGUGCAGUUGUUAUUCUGUAAAAUAUUAAUUCAUUCCAUCAACAAACAGCAUCCACGUGAGUGUGUGCGAGCGCACACCAAGUGUGUGUCAGGCAUCAAGGGACGAGGCACGGCAGGAAAGCUCUCAGGAGAAAGCACGGAUUGUGAAGGUCAAGUUUCUGUGCAAUCUUUACACCUGGAGCCAGGUCACAGGUGGAAGGAAACAUAUUACGCGAAUAUUCUUACAGAAGUUGACACAAGGCCUUUGGACAUGUUUUGCAGAUAAUCACAUGAGUUUAGCAGCUUCGUGGGUGAUGGUGGUCAUGAUGGUGGAGAGGAUGAUGGUGAUGGAAGCUGCAGGGAAGUUGUGGUCACAAGAAUGACAGUAAUGGAAUACCAAUUGGAAGCCAGACUUUGUUCUACGUCUUCAUCAGUCUGGCCUAAUCUAGUCAUCUCAGCGACCUUGACAUUGGCCCAGUGGUUACCCUCACUUUACAGGGGAGAAGACUCAGAUUCAGACUGGUUAGACAGCUGCCAUAUUGCAAGUGCUAGAGCCAGAAUUCAACCCAGGGCACCUACCUAUUUCCACAGUUACAAUUCGUGACCUUAAACAAAUACUGCUAGUGACCCACCUUUUUUAUCAUCCACUCCUUCUUCUUCUUGAUUAACAAUGCUCCAGUUUAACUCUAGUUAACUGUACACCUAGUAUGAGCAUCAGCCUUUCCAGACUCUCUUGCAGCUAUGGGAGGUUACAAGGUAAAAGCCAGGCUUUGACAAUGCUGGAGGAAUUCUCACCUCUCUCUUUAUUGUCUUGCCUGCCUGGGAAAACGACCUGGGGGUAUAGCAAUCACAAGCUAAGGCUCUGAAGGAGAACUACAGCAGCCAUGGUAUCUGAGAGCCUUUGCUCACAACUUGAGCUGCCUGCUUUCAAAGCUUUUGUAAUAAGAAAAGAACCAAGGCCUAGCUGGGCAGGUGGGAGUCAGAGUCAAGGACUUGCUAAUGCAAACAUGGAACAUCAAUCUUCCAUCUACUACUGUAACUCGGGGUGUCACACGGAGGACCAGUUCUCCAUCCUAAAACUUUACAGGACCAGCAACAAAAUUUGACUAUUGGUGAGUUCCUUUUGUUUUCCCCACCGCAACAAUAGAGGCAUUCAUGUAACCAUUUCAGUCAAUUCUGUCUCCUGGUUCUGGAAAACAGAAGUACAGAAUUAAUGUUUCUGGACUAAACUCAACACAUGGGCAGAGCAGGUUCUUCCCGUUGCUCUAGAAGGAAAUGCACCCCCAGCAUCUUGCAGCUCCUAGAAGCCACUGGCAUCUUGCUUCGUGGCUGCAUCGCCACCCCUCCUAGUGCCACUGCCCUCGUGUGGCCUUCCUUCCAUAGGCACGCUUUGCUAUGCUGCCCUCCAACAAGAAAGUGUAGAGCUGCCCUUAGAGACCACACAGAUUGUCUGCAUCAUCUACUUGCCUCCAAAUCCCUAACCUGACCAUAUCUGCAAUGUCUCUUUUGCAGUGUAACAUUCCCAAGUUUCUAGUAUUAGGACCUGGAUAUAGGAGCCAUGACCCCUGCUAUUUGAUUACUCCAUGCAUUUGUUCCAUAGCUGUUCACUGAAAAACAGGAAUUGUGCCGUCGAUAAAGGGGCAGCAGAGAAACAAUGCUUUGUCCUUGCAUCAUAUGCAAAAUGCCUUUAACAACACGCUCUGAUAAAACCCCUCGUCUGGUAUCCUUAACAAACACCAACAGAAAAAAGACAGGGUGCAGCAACUGGAAAUCAGAGUUAUUAGUGAAUUCUAACAUAUCAUCUGAAAAAGAUAUAAAGGACAACUGCCCCAGGGAAUACUGAAGAAACUCACCAAGGGAUAACAAAAUGAGUAAGACAAAACCUGGAAGCUCACAAUAAAGAGGAACACGGGUUAUUCGCAAACAUACCACCCAAGUGGGGCUCCCUGAGAAUUGUGGGAAAGAGGAGACAUGCAGGAUUGUGGGGAGGGGUGAGGUUUGCUGGUACUGAUGGGAAGAAAUAGGGUGGGAAUUGUGGGCAAGAGUGUGGUGGGAAUUGUGGGUAGGAGUGUAGGGGGAAUUGUGGGCACGAGUGUAGGGGGAAUUGUGGGCAGGAGUGUAGGGGGAAUUGUGGGUAGGAGUGUAGGGGGAAUUGUGGGUAGGAGUGGGGCUUACGGUGACAUGUGGGAAGAAACAGGGCUUACUGGGAACUGCGGAAAGACAAUUUCUCAACACUUUGACCUAAGAAUGUCACCUUCUGGCCACAGACUGAAGGAAGCCCAAUACAUUGGAAUUGCAUAAUAAACAGAGCAAAUAGCUAAAGCCAAACAGGGAGCCAUCUUUGGGAAGGGUGCCAAACCGAACUCUUGUGUAACUCAGGGGACCUCUGUGGAUGCCACAGACAGGACUCUGAAAUGGUUACUGGCACGUGGGAAAGCAAAUCUUCAUGAGAACUCCAACCUCCUGAGAAGUCGACACAACAAUGCAUGAAACCCCUUCUGGACUGGAUUCGCCCUGUCAGAAUCUUCUAGUGUAAAAUGCCCAGGGGAAGCAUGGGUAUUAUUGCCCACGACACGAGUCCCCAGAGCCUUCCGAUCUCAAGCUUUCUUUUUCUCACUUAACCCUAUUUUUGGAAGAAAGAAGAAAAGCUAAACUUUUUACUAACUAUAAAUGCACUCAAGCAACACAAAUAUGAAUUACUGGAAGAUAAUCACUUUUGAAGAGUUAAACACUAACACACAGACGCUUUUACAGUCUAUAUAUAAACACAGCUCGAACCAAUUGUGGGUAUGUAAGCCACCGAGGAAGGCCCAUGUGAGGGACAUCUGUACUGGACCUGUUCCCAAUCAAUGGAAAGCAAUUCUUCUUGGUGGUCUGACCACUUAACUUAAACAAAAAGGCUUGAGCCAACUUCUAUCAAUGAGCCUUUCUUCCAACCAAAGAAAAAAGGAAAAAGAAAAAAAAAAAAAACAGAAGAAUUGGCUACUGGUUACGGCAGUGUUGUGCCACAAGGUUAAUAAUGAUGGGUUUUAGGUCACUGGCAAUUUCUCAUUUCAAAUUAACUUGAACCAUCAACCCUCAAGCGUGGAUCGUUUAAUGUGGGCUGUGUGGUACCCAUGGUGCUCCAUGGACACCCACGUGGUGGGUGGGUGCCAUUACUCUGUCCUUGGAUCAUUACUGAGAUAGGGCUUUCCAUCCUUAAGAAAAAAAAUUAAAAAGAAAAGGAAAGGAAAGAGGAAAACAAAGGGUAAAAAUAUACAACAGCGCCUGUUUUGAGAUCCAAGAAUAUUUUGUGGACACACUUGGUUGAAACCUGGAUGGGCUGGAGACUCUGAAUUGGUUUGGGGAAUUGGAACUAAUUAUGAUUUUUUUUUACACUUUUAGAACUUAGUGGGGAAUUUUGAAAUAUCCCUACAUCAUGAGAAGAUGGUUAUCUUCCCCACAUUGCCCAUAGUUUUUUUUUUUCUUGCGUGUUUCUUUCCCUUUCAAAUGCUCCCAGCACUGACACUCACCUGGAGGCUUUGUUCAUCAUGGAUGUUGGGAACAGGAACUAGAGGAUGCUAGCUCACUCCUCUUUUUCUAUUAACAGAGUCUCCCUGGUCACCCAAGCUGAUGGUCCUACUCGCCAGAGGAUAACCUUGCCUUCGCAGAUGAGAGAAGCAAAGGACCAGAGUAUGAGCAGAUGCUUACAAAGGGACCACCAAGCCUGUCCUAACAGAGGUUAGCCUGGAGGUCAAGAGGAGCUGAGAAACCACGGAGGUUCAGAGGGUCAGAUGCAGUUACGGCGUGAGAAGAGCUUAUCCCUGAGAGGACAUGAAGCUCUGAAGUGUCUCACCUACAGACAAAUGUACUAUAUGGCACAACCUUUGGGGUGGACACUAAGUAACACUCACAGACUUGUGUUCAGUGUUCCCUCGCCAAGCGCCUUCCUGAGAGUCACUGUAGAGGCUGUGCUCUUCCAACCCAGUGUUGCUGCAGAGUUCUCGACAGACUCCCUGCCUAUUGAUGGAAAAAGAAGCUGCCACAAGUCAGCCCAACAGACGGUGUCCAUGGUGAAUUGAGGUACAUUUGGUAGAAUUGAGCCUCUUAGGGGUUAUGAUAAAGGAUACGUUGUACUGGUUAAAAAACAAAACAGAAGAAAACCCCAUGUAUUCCGUCUAUAAUGUGUAUAUGUUCAUCAAACUCCAGCAGUCUACUUGAUAUUGUCGUACUGUCUCUAAAGAGGAAACUAAAGGACAUAUUUUGGGGGGCAUUGAAUGGAAAUUAUUCCUUAAUAUAGUUCUACACUAACAGACUUACAACAUUUUUUCCAAAUUAUCUACCCAGAGUCGUGGGGGCUGCUGCUGGCAGGCUUCCUAUGCGAAGUCAUAAUUAGCAGAAAAUGGAAAAAUCCAAGUAAGAUGGGGGCUAUGAAGCCGGGUUCAGGGACCGAGGGCAACUGUUGAUCCAUGAGAAGAUCAAAGCUGGGUAGAAACCAUUCCUGGGUUUACACAGCUGCAUGUUCCAUGCAGGAGCUCUAAAACAAACACAGCCAGGACCUGAGGGGGCCGUCUUGUGAUAGGGAGUAUGUGGGUGUCAACGAAUCUCCAGGACAUCAAGUGACCCCAGGGGCUGGAGGCCACCGCACUGCAGAGCUAGAAAGGGAAGCUGGUGCUUUCCCCACAAUCCAGAACUUGUCUUUGUUGAGGCAAAAUUUUUUAUAUUUCACUAAUCCGGCCUUCUACCAACAUCAUAAGGAGGGGGGUCAUUAACGACAUACAAGAACGUCGUGGAGUUUCAUAAACACGACCUGAGAAAAGUGUAUUGGUCAGAGCUUAUUAAUCUGAAAAUGAGAAACUAGCCACUCCAGCUCCUCCAACUGAGUUGCUGUGUAUGGCGAGCCGAGUGAGACCCAGAGCUUGCAAAACUCCUUUAGGUACAUAAAUCCCUAAACCCAGUAAUAACAGAGCCAUAUGUUACUGUGUUUGUGGGUAUGAAUUGCUGUAUGAGACGCAAACACAACAGCAGCUCCCACUAUUGUUUGAAUUCAUUAAAAAUAACACCAUCUCAUAAGCUUGAAAAUGUUGAUUUUUAUUUUAUUUUAUUUUAUUUUUGUAUUAUACAAUUUUCAUAUUUCCCUAGUGUAUGGAAAUAUAGUGUCUUUACAUGGUUGUUUUCAACUUGAUAUACAUGCAAUAUUAGGAAAUGAAAAUUAUGUGUAUAUAUAUACACACAUACAUAUAUGAACUCUGUGGUUCAUGUAUUAGAAAACAAUAUGUUUUGCUCAUUAAAGGCGCCAAUAUAAAUGCUAUAAACCAUGAAAUUACCUUUGAGCCCUUCCUGAAAUAACCAGUUCACAAACAAAUGAUCCAUACAGAAAGGCAAAGGGGAGAUUACAAUAAGACUAAGUCACAUUUUCAUUUCAGAAUUGUUUUUAAUAUAAAAAAGCAUUAUUGCCACAAAAACCAACAUCUGGGGCAGGUAUAUCCAAUUUGUGGAGGAAAUAUCAAACGGUACAGGCUGAGAAUAUAAGUUCAAAGUGGGGGCUCUACGUGUUUUCCAAAUGGGAUACAGAACUCACAUUUACAACAAAUUAUCCCAAUAAGAGAAAUUUACUUUUUGGUUUGCUCAGCCCAGAGAGCCGGCGCAAAGGCUGUGGUAGCAAAAGCCCUUCACUAAAGUGAGCUUGAUGGUGUUCAGACCCUAAGGUCAUAGUGAUGACCAGUGGACACUGUGGGCAGAAGGGAACUCACCCUGUAACUCAGCAUGCUCAAACUGAAACUAUCAGUCUUUUCAAGCCAUUUGUGCACUAUGCUUCCCAGACAAAUAUCAUCAACACCAGCUGGGAAUCCAAGAAUGUGGGGCAUUGGGUCCCAUUCCGAAAGUCUUGAAAUAAAAGGCUCUGGGAUGGCGUCCUGGGAUGUCUUCUAAAAGGUCCUCAAGAUGCUGUUAUGUGCUCUCUCUUGAGAACAUGUACCACGGACAGACAUGAGAGUUAAAGAUAACGAUUCACUCUCCUCUGAGACUACAAGGAGCCUCCACAGGUUCUUCAACCUGCUUCCAAGCCAUUGAUCCCCACUCUCUCACAAUGCCAAAGGAACAGAAGCUAAGGCUUUGUGCACAUCUGCUCAGAUUGAGCUAUGCCAUGCUUUCUGCCCUAACGUAUAUGAACGGCAAAGCUUUCGACUAUACAGGCUCAGCUAACACUGCCAUGACUGAAGACAGAAACCAAGGUCACAAGACACAAGACACUCCCAAAAGUCUUCCGGGUCUUAAGACAGCAGACACAGCAGAAACAGGAAGAGUCCAGACCUCUGAGCAUGGUGUUCUGCAAUAGCUGAGCCUCCCUGUGUGAGUCCUCAGUGCAAGUCUACAUGUCUACUUUUUCCAGAUCUUGUUGGCAACUCAUUCGUGCAUUCAUCCAUUCUUUGCUUUGUGUGUUUGUGCAUUUAGUAAGCCAUUCAUUCAUGUAAUAAGAAACACUGACUUAAUCAUC